rnacentral:rRNA from 1 species
CAUGCAAGUCGAACGAGAAAGGGGCUUCGGCCCCGAGUAAAGUGGCGCACGGGUGAGUAACACGUGGGUAACCUGCCUCUAAGAUUGGGAUAACCCGUCGAAAGACGAGCUAAUACCGGAUAAGACCACAGUUUCUGAGGGAACAGGGGUUAAAGGCGGCCUCUAUUUAUAAGCUGCCGCUUAGAGAUGGGCCUGCGCACCAUUAGCUAGUUGGUGGGGUAAAGGCCUACCAAGGCUGCGAUCGGUAGCUGGUCUGAGAGGACGAUCAGCCACACUGGGACUGAGACACGGCCCAGACUCCUACGGGAGGCAGCAGUGGGGAAUCUUGGACAAUGGGCGCAAGCCUGAUCCAGCGACGCCGCGUGGGUGAUGAAGGCCUUCGGAUUGUAAACUCCUGUUGCCCGGGACGAACAGCUGCAACCUAAUACGUUGCAGCCUGACGGUACCGGGUGAGGAAGCCCCGGCUAACUCUGUGCCAGCAGCCGCGGUAAUACAGAGGGGGCAAGCGUUGUUCGGAAUUACUGGGCGUAAAGGGCGCGUAGGCGGCCUGUUAAGUCGAACGUGAAAUCCCCGGGCUCAACCCGGGAACUGCGUCCGAUACUGGUAGGCUUGAAUCCGGGAGAGGGAUGCGGAAUUCCAGGUGUAGCGGUGAAAUGCGUAGAUAUCUGGAGGAACACCGGUGGCGAANGCGGCAUCCUGNCCGGCAUUGA